rnacentral:rRNA from 1 species
UUGGAGGGCAAGUCUGGUGCCAGCAGCCGCGGUAAUUCCAGCUCCAAUAGCGUAUAUUAAAGUUGCUGCAGUUAAAAAGCUCGUAGUUGAAUUUCGGGACCAUCAUGUUGGUCGUGCCUCGGUACGUACUGGCAUUGUUGGUUUCUCCCUUCUGACGAACCAUGAUGUCAUUUAUUUGGUGUUGUGGGAAAUCAGGACUGUUACUUUGAAAAAAUUAGAGUGUUUAAAGCAGGCUCACGCUUGAAUACAUUAGCAUGAAUAAUGAAAUAGGACGUUUGAUUCUAUUUUGUUGGUUUCUAGGAUCGACGUAAUGAUUAAUAGGGAUAGUUGGGGGCAUUAGUAUUCAAUUGUCAGAGGUGAAAUUCUUGGAUUUAUUGAAGACUAACUACUGCGAAAGCAUUUGCCAAGGAUGUUUUCAUUAAUCAAGAACGAAAGUUAGGGGAUCGAAGACGAUCAGAUACCGUCGUAGUCUUAACCAUAAACUAUGCCGACUAGGGAUCGGAUGAUGUUAAUUUUUUAAUGACUCAUUCGGCGCCUUACGGGAAAC